GACGAACGCUGGCGGCGUGCUUAACACAUGCAAGUCGAACGGAAAGGCCCUGCUUUUGUGGGGUGCUCGAUUGGCGAACUGGUGAGUAACACGUGAGUAACCUGCCCUUGACUUUGGGAUAACUUCAGGAAACUAGGGCUAAUACCGGAUAGGAGCUCCUGCUGCAUGGUGGGGGUUGGAAAGUUUCGGCGGUUGGGGAUGGACUCGCGGCUUAUCAGCUUGUUGGUGGGGUAGUGGCUUACCAAGGCUUUGACGGGUAGCCGGCCUGAGAGGGUGACCGGCAACAUUGGGACUGAGAUACGGCCCAGACUCGUACGGGAGGCAGCAGUGGGGAAUAUUGCACAAUGGGCGGAAGCCUGAUGCAGCAACGCCGCGUGCGGGAUGACGGCCUGCGGGUUGUAAACCGCUUUCGCCUGUGACGAAGCGUGAGUGACGGUAAUGGGUAAAGAAGCACCGGCUAACUACGUG
rnacentral:rRNA from 1 species